GGGCGGUUGGCGAAGUGGUUAUCGCGCGACAUUGACAUUGUCGAGGCCACAGGUCCGACUCCUGUACCGCCCA
rnacentral:tRNA from 1 species